CCUACGGGGGGCUGCAGUGGGGAAUAUUGGGCAAUGGACGCAAGCCUGAACCAGUAACGCCGCGUGAAGGAAGAAGGCUUUCGGGUUGUAAACUUCUUUUAAGAGGGAAGAGCAGAAGACGGUACCUCUCGAAUAAGCCACGGCUAACUACGUGCCAGCAGCCGCGGUAAUACGUAGGUGGCAAGCGUUGUCCGGAUUUACUGGGUGUAAAGGGCGUGUAGGCGGGCUGACAAGUCAGAUGUGAAAUUCCGGGGCUCAACCCCGGACCUGCGUUUGAAACUGUUGGUCUAGAGUAUAGGUGCGGUAGGCGGAAUUCAUGGUGUAGCGGUGAAAUGCGUAGAGAUUA
rnacentral:rRNA from 1 species